UUCAGCAGCUCUCAAUAAGCUCCUCCCACAUGUUCACUGGUAGUGAAGCUCCGCCCACUGCAACGCAUCAUCAGUGAAGCUCCUCCCACAUGUUCACUGUUAGUGAAGCUCCGCCCACUGCAAC